ensembl:lncRNA
GCGUCUGUAUGGGCGGGCAGUGGGCACACGCGUGGGUGGGUGUGUGUGUCUGUGUUUGUAUUUGUGUGUCUGUGUUGGAAUGUGUGUGUGUGUGUGUGUGUGUUGGAAUGUGUGUGGUUGUGUUUGUGUCGGAAUGUGUUUGUGUGUGUGUGUGUCGGAAUGUCUGCGCGCGUGUGUAUCGGCGUUGGUGUCUGCGCGUGUGUGUCUCGGCGUGCGUGUGCGUGCGUGUGCGUGUGCUUGUGCGUGUGUGUGUGUGUGUGUACCAGUUCCUGGGUCGAUGGCUGUUUGUUUCUCCGGUUCUUCGAUGCGUCUCCUCCGUUUAAAGUCUCAUAGAAGGUAAAUCAGGGAAGGAGGGGCGCCUGCCACUGGCUCUGCCUGAGUGACUGAUCCGGGCGCGUCACUCACACGGCCCAGCUGGGCUCAACAUCUGGCAGCACGACCGAGCAGAUGGUUCAUUACCCAGCGCUCCUCCUCGGCGCUUCAGCUCCUCCUCGUAGCUCCUGGAGUCUGGUGCUCCAGAGGCUCCCCUGGAGGAGGUGUCCAGAGGCUCUCCUGGAGUCUGGUGCUCCAGAGGCUCUCCUGGAGGAGGUGUUCAGAGGGCCUAGAGGAGGUGCUCAGAGGCUCUCCUGGAGGAGGUGUCCAGAGGCUCUCCUGGAGGAUGUGUCCAGAGGCUGUCCUGGAGGAGGUGCUCAGAGGCUCUCCUGGAGGAGGUGUUCAGAGGGCCUAGAGGAGGUGUCCAGAGGGUCUAGAGGAGUUGUUCAGAGCGUCUUUUGGGGGGUUCUGGGGCGUUUGCUGCCUGCUGAACCCCGGCUGACUUCAGCGUCUGUACUUAAUGUACUGGGUUAAGGGGUACAUCUUGCUCAGGAGUGCCUACUAUAUCUGUGCACUGGGGAUCAAACCCAGAACCUUCCCACUGGGAAUCCGACCCCUAACCACUACACUGCGGCCACUGAGUACAAAAAACCAACAUCGUAGUGUUCAUCCCUGAAACGUGGCUCCGAAACGUGUUGACUCAUUUUCCCUCAAUCAUUUAUGCAAAUAAUUGCCGACCAUUUUGAAACGCAUGGAGAAUGUGUAAGUGGGCCUGAAGCAAACAGAGAGCGAGUGUUUGCACGCGUCCGUCAGUACAUCAGGACGGUGGACUGUGGGGACGCGGGUAAACACCGCCGUCUGACGGGACCGGGAGGGGUUCUCUCGCUCGCCGUUGACGGCUCGCCACUCGGGGCUAAUUGGACGAGCGUGUUGUUCCCCGACCCCGACCGCCGCCUGUUGCCAGGCCGACGGGACGGCAGGACAGCGGGAGGCUUAAUUGAAAGGCUCGCGGCGGGUUUUUUCCGAGACGCGGGAGGCACGCGGGAACGCCGUCAUUCCGGAGAUUGCCCGGAGAACUUCCCCGAUAACAAUCACUUCUGUCAUCUUCUACUGGUGGAAGCCCUUCUGAUCUCGUCUCCUCCUCGCUGGUUGCCAUGGCAGCAGAUUGGGUUUAAAAGCGUUUUCCGAGGCUCUG